GAUGAACGCUAGCGGCAGGCCUAACACAUGCAAGUCGAGGGAGAAGCCCUUUCGGGGGCAGAAACCGGCGCACGGGUGCGUAACGCGUAUGCAACCUACCUUUCACAGGGGGAUAGCCCGAAGAAAUUUGGAUUAAUACCCCAUAAUAUUAUUGGAUGGCAUCAUUUGAUAAUUAAAACUGCGGUGGUGAAAGAUGGGCAUGCGUCCUAUUAGCUAGUUGGAGUGGUAACGGCACCCCAAGGCUACGAUAGGUAGGGGUCCUGAGAGGGAGAUCCCCCACACUGGUACUGAGACAGGGACCAGACUCCUACGGGAGGCAGCAGUGAGGAAUAUUGGUCAAUGGUCGGAAGACUGAACCAGCCAUGCCGCGUGCAGGAAGAAUGCCUUAUGGGUUGUAAACUGCUUUUAUAUGGGAAGAAUAAGGCGUACGUGUACGUUGAUGACGGUACCAUAUGAAUAAGCAUCGGCUAACUCCG
rnacentral:rRNA from 1 species